rnacentral:lncRNA from 1 species
GUCCUAUAUUAGUUAUAAAUAAAGUUGAAUUCUUUGAUUCGCUGUUUUACGUCAUGCCCGCUAACAAAUUGAAACUUAUUUUUAGUCCAGAUUUUUAGUAUUCGUAUUGUUAUCUUAGAAAGUCUUACGGAUUAAAAUACUACAAUAGGUAACAAUUUGACAAUUUAGUAGUGUCAACCCUGUGAUUAUGACCCGUGUAUAUAGCAUAUUAAUCCUGAAUACACCGUUUGGUGGUGCGCCUGUCAGAUGCGGAACGUACAGAUAAGGUAAUAGGUAACAGGUGAUUAUACUAUUGGUAUCGGUAUCGGACUCGACCCGGAACUUCCUAAUUAUUGGCAAUAUUAAUUACGUGGAAAACAAAGGGGCCUGGAGUGGUGUAAUUUUUAAUCUACACCUUUGUACUAUAUUAGUUGUAUAUAAAGUUGAAUUCUUUGAUUCGUCGUUUUUACGUGAUGACGGCUGACAAAUUGGACCUCGUAAUUUUAGUAUUAUAGAUGUGU